rnacentral:lncRNA from 1 species
AUGCGUUUACUUCUUUAUAUCAGAAUCCUGACUUCAUAUGUACCUUCUGCUCAGUGUUCUCCCAAAAGACAGUCAGCUCCAGAAGAGACUCAGAAAGAAACUUUCUUUAGCUCCCCCUCAAGAACUGAUUCCCAGAACAAAGAGGCGGCUCUGCUUUGGGGUUGGGGUUAUGGUGCCCCUUAUUUGAACUUCUUAGCACAUAUUCCCGCAGGUGUUCAGAAAGUAUCGUUCUCUUUAGAAACAGCUUAGGGUGGGCACUUGCAUCCUUCUGUAUCUUAUAAAUGUGUGACAGGAGUGUCUGGCAGAAAUAAAAGGAAAAAAACCCAGCUGCAUCUGGCUCAUUACAUUGGGAGCCAUCGUCUCAUGGCUCUGAAUCCUACACUUCUUUCCUUCUAGAGAGCUGAAGUCUGCCUUCCUAUAGAAUAUGGUCCUCUGAGGCAUCAGCUAAGUCUGUGUGUUUCCUGGUCCACAUGGAAGUCCUUACAGCUGGGGAGGAGGUUCCACGCUGGCAGGCUCUUCUCCAGAACAAACGCUGUCAGCAUCUUCAACUGACCUGCCAAUGGUUAGUCUGCAGACCUUUCACCAUCCUGGUCACUCUCGCAGGGGACGGCCAGCAGGGUGUCUUACUUUGAUUGCUCAAUGCUCUUCAUGCCACAUGAUCCUCAGAAUUAAAUGCAAAAUUCCGGAUGUGGUCUGAGCAGCACAGAGAAGGGGAUUCUUUAUUUCAUCGUCACAGCUCUCUAGUUAAUGAGCAAAUGUACCUUUUCAUAAAAAAGGCACAUGACACGGGAAUAUAGCCAGCAUUUUAUAAAAACUAAAUGGAAAAUAACCUUUAAAAGUUGUGCAAAAUUUUAAGUCCAAACUAGAGGGUGAAAAAAGGCACACGACAGAAUACAAAUAUUUUCAACUUAACACUUAAAUUCUGCGUGGUGAUAAAACGGUGCCUUUUACUUGAGCAGCAUCUGUAACCUAAUUUCUGAUCUUUCUCUUCAAUGAACAGCCUUAGCGUAACACAGAAUAUUUGUCCUAAAACCAUCUUUUAACACAGAUUACAAGAUCAAAGGAUUGUUAGAUAUAGUAAGUAUAGAUCAUCUAAUGUACAGAUGCUUAUUAGCUUCAAAAAAUGUGAGUUCCACAUUAACCAUAAAGCUCCUGGCCAACUCUGCUAGGUUACAAAGAAAUGUCACUGCGUAAGCUGCUACUGCUAAGUCACUUCAGUCGUGUCCGACUCUGUGUGACCCCAC